GUGCUCCCCCGCCAAUUCCUUUAAGUUUCAACCUUGCGGUCGUACUUCCCAAGUGGCCCGCUUCACGGCUUCCCUACGGCACCACGGCAGUUCACGACUGCCGUGACACCUAGCGGGCAUCGUUUACGGCUAGGACUACCCGGGUAUCUAAUCCGGUUCGUGCCCCUAGCUUUCGUCCCUCACCGUCGGACCUGUUCUGGUAGGACGCCUUCGCCACCGGUGGUCCCCAGAGGAUUACAGGAUUUCACUCCUACCCCCUGAGUACCUCCUACCUCUCCCAGUCCCAAGCAAUGUAGUAUCCCGCAGACGCCCAACGGUUAAGCCGCUGGAUUUCCCACAAGACUUGCAAAGCCGGCUACGGACCCUUUAGACUCAAUAAUAUCGGCCACCACUCGAGCCGCCGGUAUUACCGCGGCGGCUGGCACCGGUCUUGCCCGGCCCUUGCUAACAGCCGUUUUUUAGACAGCUGGACAGACACCUAAUGUAGAUGCCACUCGAUGUUCCCCUAUCGCAGUUGCCUGCAUUGUAGAGUUUUCGCGCCUGCUGCGCCCCGUAGGGCCUGGAUUCGUGUCUCAGAAUCCAUCUACGGGCUCUUGCUCCCACAACCCGUACUGAUAAUCGGCACGCCGGUACUUUACACCGGCGUCAACCUAAUCAGCCGCAGACCCAUCCAAAGGCGCCAGAGCUUUCAAUCAAAAAACCCUUCCAGUACUCUUGACCUAUCCGGUAUUAUCCCCAGUUUCCCGGAGUUAUCCCAGACCUUUGGGUAGGUUGUCCACGUGUUACUGAGCCGU
rnacentral:rRNA from 1 species